CGCACGAGGACCUCCAAGAGGACCCUACCGUGGAAGUUUGAACUCUCAAUCCAACCUACUUGCUUGCAGAACUUGGAUUGAACUUGGCGAGGUAUCGAAGAAACCUUCCUGCUACGCUUUUGUUUAGGGUUUCUAUUACUUUUGACUUUGUCUUGGCUUUUGGGUUGUAUUUUGGAAUCCGAAUGUAACUUUUGGAGCAUGAUGUAUAUUUGGGAUAUAUGAUGGUUGUUGAACACCCGAUGUGCGGGUUGGAUA